GCAGCGCUCCUGGUGAGACCGGACCGGGAAGUAUGUUCUCAUGCCCUGGGUAGAGAGAGGCAGGGAUCUAGAAGCCCUAAAUGGAACGCUUCAAUUCUUCGAAUCACACUUGUGAUGAGCCCUGUGGUGUGUCUAUUCCCCACAGCCAAGGAAUGAAGGCCGACUGUUUAACUUAAAAACUGCAUUCUAAAAGGCUGCCACUUCUUACUGCACGAAGAAAUACAAGAAUAAUCUGACCAGGAGGUCACUGGGGAAUUGCCAAAUGACAAAUAAAUCAGCAUUGUUUAUUAAAGUGA
rnacentral:lncRNA from 1 species